AAUUUUUCUGUAGGCAACAACAACCACAUAAGCAUCCCUUAAAUUCUUAGAUGCUCGAUGCCAAAUAUCAUCAAUGAGAGCACAACCUGAUUUAACUGUGAAAAUCUCAUUCUUCUCCAACUGCCACACUCUUCUUCUAUCGUCCAAGAGAACACAUAUCUAACUCCCAUGGUAUCCAAGGUCCCUCUUGCAGAAUCCAAGCAGCCACAUUUCACAUUCAUGGUGAUUUACAUUUCUAGUUUUACAUAUUCGUGAAAACUCUUCCCUAAUCUCAAACCCCCCUUCUGCGAGCAAGCUGAACGAGCGGCUAUCAUAGUGACCUCUUCUGGCUCUACAUUGCCCUCCACUGACAUCGAGUCAAAAAGCUUCCAGUCUCAUCCCAACACUUACGCUUAGAAUACCCAUCAGUCAUAGACAGAAAAUCCAUCUCUAGCGGGAAUUCCAUCAAACAAGUGUCAAGCAAAACCCAAACAACCACGCAGCAGAUCAUAAAACCGAGCCAACCCAUCUUGAAACAACAUAGCAGAAGCAAAACCCAUCUUUGAGCGCAAGAACAAAGCUCCUACAGUCCAUUUCAGCGCCAUUCUGAAGCAUUUGGCAGAAAAACAAGAAGCCACUAUGGCCCAUUUUGGCUUCAGAGUAGCCUCUAAUCAUGGUAUUCCAAAUAUAAGUGCUGGGGUUUUGUAUCUGCGAAAACAGAAGACGAGCAUGAUUUAUAGCUGCAAUGUGAGAGAGGGCAAAAGGCCAAGGCAAGACAAAGCUUAGGGGUAGAUUAGCCAGACUAUAAAGGAGAAGGACUUAUUUGUACUUGUUCCAAGAUUGUGAGUCAAAAUAAUACCGCUUCUUUUCCUUCAAACGCAAUCUCGUCCUACGUUCCAGUAAGCAAAUCAUGGAGACUUGGCUGUUGACCUCAACACUCUCGUCUGCAUUGACCGAAGCAUUGAACUCUUCAAUAUCUUGGAUGUGAACCAGAAUUGGAAUAUUGGGUGUUCUUGUUUUUGAUACAUGUAAAGAGGUUUGGGGCACUUAUGAUGCCUUCUGUGAAUCCCUCCAUCUGGGCUUAUCAAAAGAGGAGGAGGAACGAAGCAUGUGCUCUAAGUCCGCCCAAAGUUUCAUCAAUAAGGUCCGCAGAGAGGGAGAGCUACAUCCUGCAUUUUCUUGAGAUUUCUGCGAGGUUUUUGUUCGAAUAAGCAACAAGAUGCACGAUAUUGUUGAAGGGCAAGUCCUUCCAUGACUGUCCAAAAUUUGAAGUCAUUUUCAAUUCCUGGGUCCACACUAUAUUUUUUAUAAUAUAAUCUCUAGAAUUACGCUCGA